rnacentral:tRNA from 1 species
AUCUUUCUAGUAUCAAGUUAGUACAAGUGACUUCCAAUCAUUUAGUCUUGGUUAAAUCCCAGGGAAAGAUA